GAGGAUGCGAGCGUUAUCCGGAUUUAUUGGGUUUAAAGGGUGCGUAGGCGGACUGUCAAGUCAGCGGUAAAAUACGGGGGCUCAACCUCCGCCCGCCGUUGAAACUGACGGUCUUGAGUGGGCGAGAAGUAUGCGGAAUGCGUGGUGUAGCGGUGAAAUGCAUAGAUAUCACGCAGAACUCCGAUUGCGAAGGCAGCAUACCGGCGCCCAACUGACGCUGAAGCACGAAAGCGUGGGUAUCGAA
rnacentral:rRNA from 1 species